GAACGCUGGCGGCGUGCUUAACACAUGCAAGUCGAACGGAAAGGCCCUGCUUUUGUGGGGUGCUCGAGUGGCGAACGGGUGAGUAACACGUGAGUAACCUGCCCUUGACUUUGGGAUAACUUCAGGAAACUGGGGCUAAUACCGGAUAGGAGCUCCUGCUGCAUGGUGGGGGUUGGAAAGUUUCGGCGGUUGGGGAUGGACUCGCGGCUUAUCAGCUUGUUGGUGGGGUAGUGGCUUACCAAGGCUUUGACGGGUAGCCGGCCUGAGAGGGUGACCGGCCACAUUGGGACUGAGAUACGGCCCAGACUCCUACGGGAGGCAGCAGUGGGGAAUAUUGCACAAUGGGCGGAUGCCUGAUGCAGCAACGCCGCGUGCGGGAUGACGGCCUUCGGGUUGUAAACCGCUUUCGCCUGUGACGAAGCGUGAGUGACGGUAAUGGGUAAAGAAGCACCGGCUAACUACGUG
rnacentral:rRNA from 1 species